CUUUGUUUACAAUUACUGUUUAGACCACUGUAAAGACGUAGUACCGAUACGAGAUAAGACGGAUAUUACAUUAAUUUCUGCAAGUAAAGAGUUUAAUAUUGUUUGUUAAUCUUUGAUACAACGUUUUGUUGUUAUAAUCUUAUUAUUAAUUCAAAUCAUUACAAUUCGAUUUGAUGGAGUCUACAGAAGGAAAAAAUAAUAUGCCCAAAGACAGUCAAAUCAUCGUGUCAAUGAUGGAGGAUCUAGGAAUUGUUGAAUAUGAUCAACAAGUCUUAAAUCAUUUUUUGGAGUUUAACUACAGAUACACUACUCAAUUAUUGGAAGACGCUAAGGCAUUGUCAAACUCGGCGGAAAAGAAGAAUGUUGAUGCUGACGAUGUGAAACUAGCAAUUCAAAUGGCGCAAGGCGGAGUGUUUCCUGGACCUCCUCCGCGCAAAGUAUUAACGACAGCAGCCAUCGAAGUAAAUAAAAUGCCAUUACCCCCACAAAGGCAUGCCAGUCAACUGCGAAUUUCACACGAUAGUCCAAAUUCCGUAAAGACAAAAUACAGGCUUAGAUAUGAAUCGCCUGUAUGUUCUGGAGAAAAUAUGCCCAAGGAUAAUAAAACAACAGCUGCAGAAAUGUUAGCGGAGUCUAGAAGAUUAUAAAACGAACAUAAACCCUUGCCGCAAUGUAAUUAAAUUUAUCUGAUUAAUUUUAGUGCUUAUGAAUUGCAUGCCAUAAUAUAUUAAAGUUAUACACCAUAUACUAUGCAAUUUAAAUGACCUAGCUUGUCAAAUGAAAAAUUCAUCCAGAUUUUCAAUGAUUUAAUCUUUAAAUAUCGUCGAAGCAGUCAUGGAUGCACUCGAAAAAAUGAUAAAGAUGAAAUUAUGGAUGCUCAGACUUAUAAAAAACCAUUCAUAUUCUGAUACUGCACUCAAUGAUACUGUCGAAAAAUUACUCAAUGAUAUGUAAUUUAUCAUGGAUAACAUAAUAAAAUUAAAAAUACUUUAAAUGGUAUAUUCAUUCUCUUUUAUUCAAUAUUAUAUUUUACGUUUUACAUUAGCUCAUAGUUAAAAGCUUAUCCAAAACUAAUAAUAAAUUAAUCAACUGUAA